GACGAACGCUGGCGGCGUGCUUAACACAUGCAAGUCGAACGGAAAGGCCCUGCUUUUGUGGGGUGCUCGAGUGGCGAACGGGUGAGUAACACGUGAGUAACCUGCCCUUGACUUUGGGAUAACUUCAGGAAACUGGGGCUAAUACCGGAUAGGAGCUCCUGCUGCAUGGUGGGGGUUGGAAAGUUUCGGCGGUUGGGGAUGGACUCGCGGCUUAUCAGCUUGUUGGUGGGGUAGUGGCUUACCAAGGCUUUGACGGGUAGCCGGCCUGAGAGGGUGACCGGCCACAUUGGGAAUGAGAUACGGCCGAGACUCCUACGGGAGGCAGGAGGGGGGAAGAUGGCACAAUGGGGGGAAGCCUGAUGCAGCAACGCCGGGUGCGGGAUGACGGCCUUCGGGUUGUAAACCGCUUUCGCCUGUGACGAAGCGUGCGUGACGGUAAUGGGUAAAGAAGCACCGGCUAACUACGUG
rnacentral:rRNA from 1 species